rnacentral:rRNA from 1 species
UACGUAGGGUGCAAGCGUUGUCCGGAAUUAUUGGGCGUAAAGAGCUCGUAGGCGGUUUGUUGCGUCGGCUGUGAAAUCCCGAGGCUCAACCUCGGGUCUGCAGUCGAUACGAGCAAACUAGAGUGUUGCAGGGGAGACUGGAAUUCCUGGUGUAGCGGUGAAAUGCGCAGAUAUCAGGAGGAACACCGAUGGCGAAGGCAGGUCUCUGGGCCGAUACUGACGCUGAGGAGCGAAAGCGUGGGGGAGCGAAACAGG